rnacentral:rRNA from 1 species
CACGAAGUUAGCCGGUGCUUAUUCUUUGGGUACCGUCAGAACAGCAAGGUAUUAGCCCGCUGCUUUUCUUUCCCAACAAAAGGGCUUUACAACCCGAAGGCCUUCUUCACCCACGCGGUAUGGCUGGAUCAGGCUUGCGCCCAUUGUCCAAUAUUCCCCACUGCUGCCUCCCGUAGGAGUCUGGACCGUGUCUCAGUUCCAGUGUGGCUGAUCAUCCUCUCAGACCAGCUACGGAUCGUCGCCUUGGUGGGCCUUUACCCCGCCAACUAGCUAAUCCGACAUCGGCUCAUUCAAUCGCGCAAGGCCCGAAGGUCCCCUGCUUUCACCCGAAGGUCGUAUGCGGUAUUAGCGUAAGUUUCCCUACGUUAUCCCCCACGAAAAAGUAGAUUCCGAUGUAUUCCUCACCCGUCCGCCACUCGCCACCCGUAAGAGCAAGCUCUUACUGUGCUGCCGUUCGACUUGCAUGUGUUAGGCCUACCGCCAGCGUUCACUCUGAGCCAGGAUCAAACUCU